rnacentral:hammerhead_ribozyme from 1 species
GCAUUGUUGACGAGUCCCAAAACAGGACGAAACAGUUGUCCAAUGC